rnacentral:rRNA from 1 species
CUACCCGGGUUUCUAAUCCUGUUUGCUCCCCACGCUUUCGCACCUCAGCGUCAGUUGUGGACCAGUGAGCCGCCUUCGCCACCGGUGUUCCUGCGAAUAUCUACGAAUUUCACCUCUACACUCGCAAUUCCACUCACCUCUUCCACACUCAAGACACCCAGUAUCAAGGGCAGUUCCGGGGUUGAGCCCCGGGAUUUCACCCCUGACUUAAAUGUCCGCCUACGUGCGCUUUACGCCCAGUAAUUCCGAACAACGCUAGCCCCCUUCGUAUUACCGCGGCUGCUGGCAC